rnacentral:lncRNA from 1 species
CCCACUUAACGUGGUGCCCAGGUGAUUCACAUGCACUGUGAAGUUUGAUCAAAUGCUCUGGAUUGCCCCUAAACCAAAGCAUCUCCAUCAAGUUUUCUACCUUGUCCUCUGGGGCAAAUAAGCAAGAAAAUAAUCUCUUUUCUCUCAGUUUCCUUAGGUUUUGAUUUCUCUAAGAAUAAGUACAUUGUAAUAUGAGGAAUUUGACAUAUGAUCUAGAAAUUAGAUUGCUAGAUUCAGCAAGUAUAAAUACGCAAUACCCAGUACAGUAUAAUUUCAGAUAAACGACACAGAAUUUUUCAGUAUAAGCAUAUCCAUAUGAUAUUUGGGACAUACUUAUGUUAAAUCCAGAGCAUGCAAUAUUUGGGACAUACACAGACUUAAAAAAUGUAUUGUUUAUGUGAAAUUCAACUUUAACUUGGUUUAAAAAAAUUCCACUAGGUAUCUUAUAUUUUAUCUGGUAAACCUAUCUAGAAAGGAUUGUUUGGGUUCCAUAUUUUCUGCUGAAACCUUCACAGGAUUUCUCCUUUUUAGGCACUACAGUUGUGAUGAGGCAAUUGCAACAUUUGAAAAGACCCCAGGGAGUUUGCAUUAAAUGCGUUUCACAAGAGUGAAUGAUGGAACAGAACACCAUGUACAAAGACACAGUCAUCCAACACCCAAGCACAAAUGGCACAAGUUAAACAUGUGACGGCUUGAUGUAUGACAGGUAAUUUGUUUUGCACGUCCAUUUCCAUUUACAUAUGAACUUAAAAACUGUUUACAUUGCUUUUAGGAGUUGCAUUUUAAUAUGCUGGUAUGCUAUUUUUCCCUUCAAGAGAAAAAUUUCAUUUAAAUGUGACUAGUUACUUGGAGAAAAUAGGAUUAUAUAUUCAGGUUUUAUUAUUCCACAAAAUGAAAUUAUUUUGUUUCACUUAGAAUGCCUAUGACGUAAACCACCCUUCACAUCUAUCCAUCUCCACUCUUCUCAAUUUAAAUCAAAUUUUAAAAAAGAAAGAAAAAUGGUUUUUAGCCUUUUUUUUUCCCAUUCUGACUCUUUUAUUGCAUCUUGGAUAUAUUUGACCAAUACAAGCAUAUUUAUACUUCUCAAUCCAAAUUAUAAUCCCCUCUACCUAUUCAUUCCUAAGGUAUAUUUAUUUCUUAGGACAUCAGCAAAGAAUUAAACAGUAUUCUCAGAUGUGCUGGUCAUUCUCUCUGUCAUGAGUUAACUUAAUUGAAAUUAGCCUAAAGAUAUUAAUGUUAUCUGGAAAAAUGAACAUGGGAGAAGAGUUAGGAAAAUUUUGGAAAAAAAUAAUUGGAAAGAAGGUGACCCUUAUUACCCAAUAUUAAAACAUAUUAUGAAGCUACAAUAAUUAAAAACAUUCAGUAAUGGAGAAUAAAUAGGUUAAUAAAACAUAAUAAAAUAUCCAGAAAUAGACCUAAAUAUAUAUGGGAACUUAGUUUAUGAGAAAGCUGGCAUUUCAAAUUAGUGAGAAAAAGAGGGGUUAUUCAUUCAGUGAUAUUCAUACAAGUGGCUAACUGGAAAAAAAAUCAGGCCAGAUAGCUACCUCAUUUUUUACCCCCAAAUACAAUCCUGCUUAUGACAUAUUUACAUGUGAAGGAGAAAAAAAAAAACAAUUCUAGAAGAAAUCUCAGCUAAAUUUAUUUAUACACUUUAAAUGAGAGUUUUCCUAAGAAACCUAUAAUCCAAAAAAGAAACAUAUAUUUCUUUUAUAUGUAUUAAAUAUAUAUAUUUAAUUACAUAAAAUGAAAAUCUUUUGUAUGAAAAUAAAUCACAGAGUGGGAAAACUAAUAACCACAAUAUGCGGCAAAUAUAACAAAUGGCAAAUUUCUUUAAUUUGCAAAGAACUCAUACAAAUCAGGUGCCAAAUAGAAGAAUGGGCAAAGGCUAGGGAAGCACUUUACAGAAAAGGAAAUAUAAAUAGUGAGUAAACAUAUGAAAAGAUGUUCAAACCCAUAAUUAUGGAAAUACAGAUCAAAGCAAUGAGAUUUUUUCCCCCACCAAGCAGAGUGGAAAUUUUUAAUGUUUGAUGAUAUCCAGAGCUGAUACAGGCUUGGAGGAAAUAAAGGGGGUCUCUCAUACAUUUUGCAGGGAGAGUGCACUUUUCUGAAUGAUAAUUAAGCAAGAUGUCUGAAAAUUUAAAAAGCACAUGCCUUUUACGUCACCUGUGCUACUGCUCAGAAUCUAUCCUAUGGAGAUGCUCUGAAAUAUUCACCAAGAUAUAUGCACAAGGAUGUUCAUUUAAAAAUAAUAUUAAAAAAUGGGAAACCACCAAAGUGUCCAUUCAUAGAGAAUUAGUUUUAAAUUAUAAGUCCACACAAUGGGAUUGUAUGCCGCUAUUUAAAAGUCAUUAAAAAGAAAAAGGAGACACAACAUGUUAUCUGGAAAAGUUACCAAGAUAUAUCAUUAAGUUCAAAAUGACAGCAACAAAAACCAAGUACAGAACACCAUGACUAUAUGAUCAUCACCUAUGUGAAAUAAAAACCAACACAAAUCCAGGUAGAUACAUCAUACUUAUAUGUAUCUCUGUGUGUACAUGUGUGCAAGUGUGUGCAUACACAUGUACAAACAUAUAUUCUGCCCCUACCCCAAGAAAUUAUUGGAAGGUGAUUACAAUGGAGAUCUGCCCUUUUAAUGUGGUGUCUUUCUGAACAAUUCAAUUUUUCUAACAUUAUAGCAUCUGUAACUUUUAUUUAUUCAUUGAAUGUCUAUAGAAGCAGAGAAAACAAUGGGCCUUGUUUUCUAUGGUAAAUCCUGGUAAAACACUGCAUUUCACAUAUAAAAUAAAGAAAAAAUCAUUUUUGUGGCCUACCUCCAAAUCACUUUCUUAUUUUUCAGCUGAUUACAGGAACUCCAUGGUUUUGAAAUUAAAAGCAGUUAAUGCCCUUUAUAUUUGUAUAUUUAAGAGAAAAAUUCCUGGUCUUGAAUUAAAAAGCUAAUUUCCAAAAGAAAUGACAAAGAAUCACCCAACCUCUCAAUUUAAAAAAAUCUAGAUGAAAAGAGGUCACUGUCACCCAGAGGGGGGUUCAGGUUGUUCUGUUGGCAUCCUUCAAGCACUUUAAAUUAUUAAACAAACUCAGAUCUACAGCACUUUUCAAAUCUUUCUGAGCAGUCCUUCAACCUAACAGUGCCCUCUUCUGGUUCCAUAAAUUACAUUCACUGUGGUUCACUGAGGUAGAGAAAAAGAAUAAUUUAUAGAAGACGAUAGGAAAAUUCGCAUUGAAAUCUGGGAGAAAAGAGUUGUUUUCCUUGUUAGCAUAUAAAAGCAAAAGUCCAGUUUAAAUAAAAUGUAUAUAAUUAUUACCUAUUAUACAUGUACUAUAUAUGUUAAUUUGUGUGUAUAUAUUUAUGAUAUAUGGUAUACUAUUUAUAUAAUUUAAUAUAUAAAAUACAUAGUAUAAAAACUAAUAUCAUGCAUGAUCUAAAUAGUCCAGUUUGAUAGCAGCGGCUCUAAGUUGGAACUGUUUUGAUCUCAAGUCAAAUAUUUAUUAUAAAUCUAAACUACCUGGGUUUGAUUAAAUUUUUAUUUCCCAUUUUAUUAAUAGGCAUAUUUAACUGAAUUUACUAAAUCUAUAGCUAUAAAACAAAUUACCUUCAAUUUUUAUUCUCAAAGUUUUCAGUCUUGCAGAGAUUUGAGAUCCAUGUAAAAAGGCAGUAAAAACGUGACUUCACUUUGAGAAAUAGUCAUUCUUGAAUUUCACACUCCCUAUCUUCACUCCAAUUUUUUAAAAGAGUUUCUGACUGAUGAAUCUGCACUAAAAGGUCUUCUGCUGUCUAGGUGACCCACCAGAAGGACUGUACUCAUGAUGGAGAAUGAGGAAACAUUCCGAGGCAAGCCACUGGCCAUUUUCAGAUUUUCUAAACAGCGGCUAGGCAACAGCACCCCCUGCUGCCCCGCAAACUAACAUGCACCUUCCACAGUAGGAGGCCCGGAUGCAAGACGGGAAAGCAAGCAGGCUUCUCACUUACUAAGGCAGCAAAUAAUUUGUUAAGCGCAUAUUGUUACUAAGAUAUUGUAGAGGUGGGAGGUGGGGAAGAAUCCACAGAGAAGUGGAACCCUCAUUGUUGUCUCUCAAGGAACUUUCCAUUCAGUUGGGAACACAUAUGACGUAAUGAAACUCCUGAAUGUAGGGCGUGGAGACAUUGAUGAGUUGGUGCUCGAUCUGAGAAACAGUGGAGAGCCGCUCUCCACAUUUAACCAUCCCCAAAUGGUGCCAGUCGUCUAAAGACAUGCCUGAACAAGUGACAGUGUUUGACAGACCUUAUAUCUCCUUUCUAUCACACCAAAAUCUCUGUAGUGAGCUCAGGCAAUGUUUUGACCUGCUGGUGUGCUGAUGCACUUCAGGAUAAAAAGAAUUGGUCCACAUUGUAGCAAUAACUUCCAGGAAGAAACGAGUGGAUUGGACCAGAUUAUCUCUACAAUUUCUUCCAGUGCAAACACUCUGUGAAUGAAGGCACUUGCCUUCUCUCUAAACUGGAAGCCUCUUGAGGGCAGGACUGCAUCUACCUCCUCUCUGUACCCCUGCAGCACCCAGUACAGUGCCCAGCAAUGGACUGGAACCAAACCAGCAGAGCAAAACCAGGUCUUCAUUCUAAUAAUUUCAAGGAAUGCCAGAGCUAACCUGAUGUUCACAAGAGAGCACUUACUGUAAAAAUAAUUUAGCCACAUGGAACCUUUGAAGACCAUGGUAACUCACUGGCCUUUCAGUGGCUUCUGUGUGCAAAGAAUGAACAGAUGGAGGAGAUAAAAGGAAAGUUUUUCUGGUGAAAACAGGGACCGCCUGGAGAACUAGCUAAAAUUCAUGUAAAAUGCCUGUCUGGAGAAAUUGCAAAAAUGCAAAAAAUUGCAAAAAUGAAGGUCAAAGGUUUUCUGUAAAGUUACAUUUUUUGUACAUUUUGUAAAUAGCUUAUCAGCAUCAUUCAGAUCUUCCUGACUAGUGGUUUUCAUUGCAUAAAACUGAAAAGUCCCUUUAAAGAGUUUAAACUGGAAAGUCAUCCAAGGGCUCUACAGUUUCUGGACAUAGCCCUGAGCACCUGUAGCUUACAAUUUAACCAGUCUUCUAGCUGAUGAGCAUAGGAGAAUUCUCAGAGCAAAAUCCCACCAGGAAAGCUCUGCUCCCAGCCAACCUUUCAAGUUGGCCAGUCUUUGAAAAUGACACUUAGCCUUUCAUGCCUCAGAUCCCUCUGGUAUGCUGUGUGUGUGCACAUGCAUGCACUCUUGCCAAUACCUAUCUGGUAACUCAGAGCCCCAGAGGAAAACAUCUUUCUCAUGAAGAACAUGUUGGUGGCAGAGCACUGCCAGCUUCUUGGGCUUUCUGUGGGUCCCUUCUAGGUAAGGGAUGGGGUGGGGUGGCAUGAAUAAACCCAUUACAACCCUCAGCCACAACCAGAGUCUGCUCCAGUAUGAGCUAGUUUUGAGCGCUCCAGGGGGUCUCUAGCUGUCCUUUUCUGAUCUUCCAUGGAACACAGUAGAGCAUGGGUGGGGAGACUACCCAUAACCAGUUAAUUAGUUGGUUAUGCUUUAUAUUAUCACCAGAGCAAACAUGAUUUCUUACAGCUCAGGGGAUAAUAAUGGCCAACUUCAGGUCCACAGUGAAACCACAGUGGUGGGACCCCAGGUUCUCAUUUCAAUUUCUAUCACUCCAGACACAUUCAUCAUUUCAAGUGAGUAAUAUUUAGGUUUGGGGCUUUGAAUCAGCUUUUGAAGACUGAUACUGCCCCCCUUUGUUUAAAAAAGAG